GAUGAAGAACGUAGCGAAAUGCGAUACUUGGUGUGAAUUGCAGAAUCCCGUGAACCAUCGAGUCUUUGAACGCAAGUUGCGCCUCAAGCCAUUAGGUUGAGGGCACGUCUGCCUGGGCGUCACAUAUCGUUGCCUGAUGCCAGUUUCCUCGUGAAGGGUGACUGUGCAGGGCGAAUGAUGGCUUCCCGUGAGCAUUGUUGUCUCAUGGUUGGUUGAAAAUUGAGUCCUUGGUAGGGAGCGCCGUGAUAGAUGGUGGUUGAGUGACGAACGAGACCCAAUCAUGUGAGACCCCUACCGAAUUUGGCCUUCAUGACCCACAUGCGUCUUUGGAACGCUCAUGACGAGACCUCAGGUCAGGCGGGGCUACCCGCUGAGUUUAAGCAUAUCAAUAAGCGGAGGA
rnacentral:misc_RNA from 1 species